GAUGAACGCUGGCGGCGUGCCUAAUACAUGCAAGUCGAGCGAACAGACGAGGAGCUUGCUCCUCUGACGUUAGCGGCGGACGGGUGAGUAGCACGUGGAUAACCUACCUAUAAGACUGGGAUAACUUCGGGAAACCGGAGCUAAUACCGGAUAAUAUAUUGAACCGCAUGGUUCAAUAGUGAAAGACGGUUUUGCUGUCACUUAUAGAUGGAUCCGCGCCGCAUUAGCUAGUUGGUAAGGUAACGGCUUACCAAGGCAACGAUGCGUAGCCGACCUGAGAGGGUGAUCGGCCACACUGGAACUGAGACACGGUCCAGACUCCUACGGGAGGCAGCAGUAGGGAAUCUUACGCAAUGGGAGAAAGCCUGACGGAGCAACGCCGCGUGAGUGAUGAAGGUCUUCGGAUCGUAAAACUCUGUUAUUAGGGAAGAACAAAUGUGUAAGUAACUAUGCACGUCUUGACGGUACCUAAUCAGAAAGCCACGGCUAACUACGUG
rnacentral:rRNA from 1 species